GACGAACGCUGGCGGCGUGCCUAACACAUGCAAGUCGAGCGGAGCCAUCCGAUAGAUCCCUUCGGGGUGACAUUGGGGAAGCUUAGCGGCGGACGGGUGAGUAACGCGUGAGUAACCUGCCCAUAAGAGGGGAAUAACACAGCGAAAGUUGUGCUAAUACCGCAUAAUAUGUUUUUACCGCAUGGUAGAGACAUCAAAGAUUUAUCGCUUAUGGAUGGACUCGCGUCUGAUUAGAUAGUUGGCGGGGUAACGGCCCACCAAGUCGACGAUCAGUAGCCGGACUGAGAGGUUGAACGGCCACAUUGGGACUGAGAUACGGCCCAGACUCCUACGGGGGGCAGCAGUGGGGAAUAUUGCGCAAUGGGGGAAACCCUGACGCAGCAAUGCCGCGUGAAGGAUGAAGGUUUUCGGAUUGUAAACUCUUUUACUGAGGACGAAACAAAUGACGGUACUCAGAGAAUAAGCCACGGCUAACUACGUAGCCAGCAGCCGC
rnacentral:rRNA from 1 species